GUUGACCACUCUUCUACCUGAAAUCAGCGGUUUAACUCUCUGUUUUCGUCGAUUUGGCCUGCUAUAUGAAGCAAACAAUGUUGAAGACAUCUGAAACAGAGAUAAAGAAACUAGUUCAAUUUUCAAAAUAAUAUUGAAGAAACCACCAACAAAACUAGUACCUGUUGAAAAGAGGCCAAGAGGAAGAUCUAGGAAAACUGCCCAAGCAGUAGGAAAUAGUCCUGCACCAGCUGAAGUUCAUGUUUCAUGUUCUGCACCUGAAGCAACUAGUACACAACCCACUGCUAAUAGAGGAAGAGGAAGUGGCACUAGUGCACCAUAUAAAAGGCCUAGAGUCAUGGCAAUGGGUGUUUUCCAGGCAGAAAAUGGGUUCAAAGCUGUUAAUCAGGAUUGUCUCAACUGCUAAGCAAAGGUGACCAGAUCAGCAGAGGUAACUGGUGACAUUGGUUACAAGCCAAGUGCAAAUAGUAAGCUGAAGAGGCAAUGAAGCAAUCACAAGCAGGAAACUACAAGAGAUACAACAGAAAAUGACAAGAGGUAGAGGUAAAUUAGCAAACCCAAGCCAAGAAAUCACCUGUUCACAGCCAAGCAGCGAUGAAAAAUCUAAUUAUGAUGAAAACUAUCC